AGAGUUUGAUUCUGGCUCAGAACGAACGCUGGCGGCGUGGAUAAGACAUGCAAGUCGAACGGGGAACUUACUUAGCUUGCUUUGAAAGUUCCUAGUGGCGAACGGGUGAGUAACACGUGAGUUACCUGCCCUGAAGCGGGGGAUAGCCUUUCGAAAGAGAGAUUAAUACCCCAUGUGAUCGUAAGAUUAAAGGCGGCUUCGGCUGUCGCUUCAGGAUGGGCUCGCGGCCUAUCAGCUUGUUGGUGAGGUAAAGGCUCACCAAGGCGAUGACGGGUAGCUGGUCUGAGAGGACGAUCAGCCACACUGGAACUGAGACACGGUCCAGACACCUACGGGUGGCAGCAGUCGAGAAUCAUUCGCAAUGGACGAAAGUCUGACGGUGCGACGCCGCGUGGAGGAUGAAGGCCCUAGGGUCGUAAACUCCUGUCAUCAGGGAGUAAAAACUUACGUAGUAACUGACGUGGGUCUUGAUAGUACCUGAAGAGGAAGGGACGGCAAACUUCGUGCCAGCAGCCGCGGUAAUACGAAGGUCUCAAGCGUUGUUCGGAUUUACUGGGCGUAAAGAGUCUGUAGGCGGUGUGGUAAGUCAGAUGUGAAAUCCCGGGGCUCAACCCCGGAACUGCAUCCGAUACUGCCAUACUAGAGUAUUGGAGGGGAGUCUGGAAUUCUCGGUGUAGCAGUGAAAUGCGUAGAUAUCGAGAGGAACACUAGUGGCGAAGGCGAGACUCUGGACAAUUACUGACGCUGAGAGACGAAGGCCAGGGGAGCGAAAAGGAUUAGAUACCCUUGUAGUCCUGGCAGUAAACGGUGCACGCUUGGUGUAGGAGGACUCGACCCCUUCUGUGCCGGAGCUAACGCGUUAAGCGUGCCGCCUGGGGAGUACGGUCGCAAGAUUAAAACUCAAAGAAAUUGACGGGGACCCGCACAAGCGGUGGAGCAUGUGGCUUAAUUCGAUGCAACGCGAAGAACCUUACCUGGGCUUGACAUGUUAGUCGUAGAUUUGUGAAAGCUUAUCGUCACUUCGGGUGGACUAUCACAGGUGCUGCAUGGCUGUCGUCAGCUCGUGUCGUGAGAUGUUGGGUUAAGUCCCGCAACGAGCGCAACCCUU
rnacentral:rRNA from 1 species